CGAACCCAAAAUAUCAAACCAUAGCACAUAGACGUUAGGGAUAAUUGAAGGGACGCACGAAAACAGCACAGAAGCUCGAAAACCCGGAAGCCAUGGGAGGAACAGCAAGAACCCUCUUGGCCCUCUCUCUAAGUUCGAACCUCUUCGCUCUCUCUCGACUCUCUCCUGCGCCCAAACGAUUCUCACUUCCCAAAACCACUAGGGUUUUUGUAGGGUUUAGGCCACUAUGCACUACUAUUACUCCCACCACCCCCACUACUAGCCUUGCGGAACCAGAGCAAAUGAAGCACUCAAUUCUUCUUGAGAGGCUGAGGCUCAGACACCUCAAAGAAUCUGCCAAACCCCCACAAACUAGAAAUCCAAAAUCAGCGACUGCUGCUGGGAGUGAAAAUGAGGAUGGGUCCAAAAAGAAGAAGACUGGGAAGAGGGUGGUUGAGAGUUUUGAGGAGCUGGGUUUGAGUGAGGAGGCGAUGGGGGCUGUGAGGGAGUUGGGUAUUGAGGUUCCUACUGAGAUUCAGUCUAUUGGGAUCCCGGCCGUCUUUGAAGGGAAGAGUGUGGUUUUGGGUUCCCACACUGGGUCUGGCAAAACUCUGGCUUACAUGCUCCCCCUUGUUCAGUUGCUGAGACGGGAUGAGGCAUUGUUUGGUAUGCUAACGAGGCCUAGGCGCCCUCGAGCUGUUGUGCUAUGCCCCACAAGGGAGUUAUCUGAGCAGGUAUUUCGUGUUGCAAAGUCAAUUGGUCAUCAUGCACGGUUCCGUUGUACUAUGGUAAGUGGUGGUGGCCGCCUAAGACCCCAGGAGGAUUCAUUAAAUAACCCAAUUGAUAUGGUAGUUGGGACCCCUGGCAGGGUUCUCCAACAUAUUGAGGAGGGCAACAUAGUGUAUGGAGACAUCAAGUACUUGGUGUUGGAUGAGGCUGACACCAUGUUUGAUCGUGGCUUUGGUCCUGAAAUUCGAAAGUUUCUUGGCCCAUUAAAAAAUCGUGCAUCAAAGGCUGACUCCGAAGGGUUCCAAACAAUUUUGGUCACUGCAACAAUGACAAAGGCAGUGCAAAAUCUGAUUGAUGAGGAAUUUGAAGGCAUUGUACAUUUGCGCACAUCAACACUGCAUAAGAAAGUGGCAUCUGCUCGCCAUGAUUUCAUCAAACUUUCAGGUUCUGAAAACAAGAUGGAAGCUUUAUUACAGGUUCUGGAGCCAAGUUUGGCAAAGGGAAACAGAGUGAUGGUAUUCUGUAAUACAUUAAAUUCUAGCCGUGCUGUGGAUCACUUUCUGGGUGAAAAUCAGAUUUCCACAGUCAAUUAUCAUGGCGAGGUGCCUGCAGAGCAAAGGGUUGAAAACCUCAAUAGGUUUAAGAGUAAUGAAGGAGAUUGUCCCACGUUGGUGUGCACAGACUUGGCUGCCAGGGGACUCGACUUGGACGUAGAUCAUGUUAUCAUGUUUGAUUUCCCCUUGAACUCUAUUGAUUACCUUCAUCGCACGGGAAGAACUGCUCGCAUGGGUGCAAAAGGGAAAGUAACAAGUUUGGUUGCUAAAAAGGAUCUCCUGUUGGCCACCCGAAUAGAGGAGGCCAUGAGGAAGAAUGAAAGCUUGGAGUCUCUUACCACAGAUCAUGUUCGAAGGGAUGUUGCCAGGGCUCGAAUAACUGGGAACAAGGUGAUGAAUGCUAAAUCACUUAAGGUUUCACAGCAGAAAAAUAAGGUCGUGGUGAAAGGUAAAAAGACAUCUGCUCCAGCAAAAUCUACCAAGCCAGCAGUUCAGGUCUCAAAAUCAAUAAAAUCAUCCACUGCUAGUACCUCAAGAAAACCAUCUUCAGGAGGGAAGAAGCAAACGGCCAGCAGAAGGUCAAGUUCUGUUCAAUCCACAACUACAAAGCUAAGCGUUGUUGGGUUUAGGGGGCGCAAUUCUUGGACUAAUAAGAAAGGAGGAACCGUGUCCCGUUGAAUGAGGUUAAAUUUUGGGUUAACUUUGCAAUUGGAUUUGUGAACAUUCUUGUGAGUAAAGGGGCGAGAAGUUUUGACAGGGACUAUUUUCCCGAAUCCUAAAUUACGACACCAGAAAAAUCUGAUAUUCAGUAGUGUAAAACAUCGAGAAGUUUGAUCAUUUCACUUAUCAACAUGAUAUAGAAGAUAUGUUUCUCAGGUUGCUGGCGCUUCACUCCCACGAGUAUGUUCUUCUUACAGAUGGAAAGCUCACCACUAUCUUGCCGCAUUAGGAUCGUUGCUUUAAUGUUGAGCUCGAUUACAGGGUUCUUAUUGUUGGAACCAUAGCAAGAAGUGUCAUGUCUUCUCGGCCAUGGUCGAAAUGUGCUUUGGAAGAGUAUGCAUCAAUAGAAUGGGUUAUGCCCGAGACAGUGAGAGGGUUUAUGUAAUCUUCAUGCCGGCUUGAUGUGGGUGUUAGAUUGUCAAGAUUUAUUGGAGUUUAGUUGACUUUUUAGUUUGGUUUUGGUGGUUCUUGAAAAUAGUAUGGUGCUGGUGAUCUCUCACAUCCACUGCUCUAUGUGAUGCAACUUUUAUUACUUCAAGUUUAUCCUUUUCG